AGUGCUGAAGCAGUAUGCUGGGGCAGCUGUCAUGGUGAAGUGCAUUCAUUUAUUUUUAGCACGGUGUGUUUAUUCAGCAGCUGUAUGAUGUAAUGUUUCAAGUUCUCUCUUUUGGGUAUGCAGUAUGUUUAUGCUGUUUCAACGUACAUGCUUUUAGCACUGGCGCUGCCAUUAACACGAGCUGUCUUCCGCUUGCUGUUAAAGAUGAUCGUUUGACGCCGGAUGGGUGGAGCGGCCACAGCUGCUAGCAAUGCCAAUCAGCCAUCUUUAUAAACGAGUGGACGCCACCACCUCGUUGCCCGAUCAACUAGUCUGUUAACCAUGUCCUGACUUUGCACCCCCCUGUCGGAUUCCAUGCCUGCCUUCCUUCCGAGCUUCCACGCCCCACGUUGGCUCAGCUACCCCGAGCAGAACGAGAUACACCCGCCACCUUAUUGCUUGUGCUCGCCAAUAAAAUAUUACUCAC